GUUAGUGUAGCUUAAAUAAAGCAUAACUCUGAAAAAGUUAAGAUGGUUCCCACUGACA
rnacentral:tRNA from 1 species